rnacentral:rRNA from 1 species
UACGGGGGGUGCGAGCGUUGUCCGGAAUCACUGGGCGUAAAGGGCGCGUAGGUGGUUUGAUAAGGGUGUGGUGAAAGCCCGGGGCUCAACCCCGGGUCUGCCGUGCCGACUGUCAAACUCGAGGGCUGUAGAGGCAGACGAAAUUCCGGGUGUAGCGGUGGAAUGCGUAGAGAUCCGGAGGAAGACCGGUGGCGAAGGCGGUCUGCUGGGCAGUUUCUGACACUGAUGCGCGACAGCGUGGGGAGCAAACAGG